rnacentral:rRNA from 1 species
UACAGAGGUGGCAAGCGUUGUUCGGAAUUACUGGGCGUAAAGGGCGCGUAGGCGGUUCGUUAAGUCCUGUGUGAAAUCCCCCGGCUCAACUGGGGAACUGCACAGGAAACUAGCGGGCUUGAGUUCGGGAGAGGGAAGCGGAAUUCCGGGUGUAGCGGUGAAAUGCGUAGAUAUUGGGAGGAACACCAGUGGCGAAGGCGGCUUUCUGGACGGUAACUGGACGCUGAGGCGCGAAAAGCGUGGGGAGCAAACAGG